rnacentral:rRNA from 1 species
ACGGGAAAGUCGCAAGAUGAGUACAGUGGCGUAAGGGUGAGUAAUAGAUAGCUGACCUACCCACAGGACGCGGAUAAUUCUCCGAAAGGAGUUGUAAUACGCGAUGAGACCACGGUCCUUACGGGGAUUGUGUUCAAAGGCUGGGGAUCCUUCGGGACCUAGCGGCCUGUGGCGGGGGCGAUCUCUGAUUAGCUAGUUGGCGGGGUAACGGCCCACCAAGGCGAUGAUCAGUAGCCGGGCUGAGAGGCUGUCCGGCCACACGGGCACUGAGACACUGGCCCGACUCCUACGGGAGGCUGCAGUCGCGAAUUUUUCUCAAUGGGCGCAAGCCUGAAGAAGCCAUGCCGCGUGCGGGACGAAGGCCCUCUGGGUUGUAAACCGCUGUCAGGGAAGGGGAAACGUGCGGUGUUAACAGCAUCGUAUUUGACUGCUUUCCAAAGGAAGCCCCGGCAAAACAUGUGCCAGCAGCCGCGGUAAUACAUGUGGGGCAAGCGUUGUUCGGAAUCACUGGGCAUAAAGGGUGCGUAGGCGGUGGUGCACGUCCUGGGUGAAAUCCUUCGGCCCAACCGGAGGUCUGCCUGGGAUACGGCAUUACUUGAGUGCGUGAGGGGUGACUGGAACGCGUGGUGUAGCGGUGAAAUGCGUAGAUAUCACGCGGAAGGCCAACGGCGAAGGCAAGUCACUGGUACGCAACUGACGCUGAGUGCACGAAAGCGUGGGGAGCAAACAGGAUUAGAUACCCUGGUACUCCACGCCGUAAACGAUGGGCACUAGAUCGUCGGGGCGCUAUGCCCUGACGGUCGCAGGCAAUUCGCUAAGUGCCCCGCCUGGGGA